AUUGAACGCUGGCGGCAUGCCUUACACAUGCAAGUCGAACGGCAGCAUGGGUGCUUGCACCUGAUGGCGAGUGGCGAACGGGUGAGUAAUGCAUCGGAACGUACCCGGAAGUGGGGGAUAACGUAGCGAAAGUUACGCUAAUACCGCAUAUUCUGUGAGCAGGAAAGCGGGGGAUCGCAAGACCUCGCGCUUCCGGAGCGGCCGAUGUCGGAUUAGCUAGUUGGCGGGGUAAAGGCCCACCAAGGCAACGAUCCGUAGCGGGUCUGAGAGGAUGAUCCGCCACACUGGGACUGAGACACGGCCCAGACUCCUACGGGAGGCAGCAGUGGGGAAUUUUGGACAAUGGGCGCAAGCCUGAUCCAGCCAUGCCGCGUGAGUGAAGAAGGCCUUCGGUUGUAAAGCUCUUUCGGCGGGAGAAAUCGCAUCUCCUAAUACGGGUGUGGAUGACGGUACCCGAAUAAGAAGCACCGGCUAACUACGUGCCAGCAGCCGG
rnacentral:rRNA from 1 species